rnacentral:rRNA from 1 species
GACGAACGCUGGCGGCGUGCCUAAUACAUGCAAGUUGAGCGAUGAAGCUUGGUGCUUGCACCAAUUUGAAGAGCCGCGCACGGGUGAGUAACGCGUGUGGAAUCUGCCUUUGAGCGGGGGACAACAUUUGGAAACGAAUGCUAAUACCGCAUAACAACUUUAAACAUAAGUUUUAAGUUUGAAAGAUGCAAUUGCAUCACUCAAAGAUGAUCCCGCGUUGUAUUAGCUAGUUGGUGAGGUAAAGGCUCACCAAGGCGAUGUUACAUAGCCGACCUGAGAGGGUGAUCGGCCACAUUGGGAGUGAGACACGGCACAAACGCAUACGGGUAGCAGCAGGAGGGAAUCUUCGGGAAGGGGCGGAAGACUGAGCGAGCAACGCCGCGGGAGUGAAGAAGGAUGUCGGGUCGGAAAACUCGGUUGGUAGAGAAGAACGUUGGUGAGAGUGGAAAGCUCAGCAAGUGACGGUAACUACCCAGAAAGGGACGGCUAACUACGUG